AAAAGUCCCUCCCUGAUAGCUAAUUUCGUCCCGAUGCCCCUCCUCGUUGACCCAAAUCCUGUGGAGGCAGCGCACGAACCAAAUCUUCUCCGAGGGCGGCGGCGGCGGCCGCCGCCGCGCAGAUCCCUACUCCAAGUUGGGUGAGCACUCCUGGUAGAGCUUCCGUCGCAGAUUCCCUUCUGAAGCUUCCAACAUCGGUGGGUUCGUCGCCUCCUCUCUCAAGUAACAGCUAGCGCCCUCCUCCCCCUCGUCGGCGGCAAGCCAGUGGUGGUCUCCUCGGCUCCUUCCCCUCCAGCCCGUGCGACGAGGUGGUUCAUUUUCCUGGUGGUGGGCUCCUCGGCUCCUUCCGAACCGACCUGUGUGACGUGGUGCAAAUCUACAAGGUGUCAACACGAUGGUUAAUUUCUCUGAACAAGAAGCUCGAUGAACAAGAAGCACUUCAUCUAGAGGCAACUAUUGUGUGCCAUCAAGAUAGCAACGUCGAUCUAGUUCUUAAUGGCAAUGCUUGCUCAAUGAUGAUUAUCAUAGUCCUUCAGACUUAGCAUAGCCCGCCAUGUACGAAAGUUGAAGCAAUUUUCGCUAGUAAUUCUUGUUGAUCUUGUCAGGUUAUUGAUAGCUCAGUUUGACAUGUACUAAAGUAGUGUUCUAAACGCUCUUAUAUUAGUUUACAGAGGGAGUACUAAAAAAUGUGCCGUGGAUGCUUAUGUGCCUAGAAUGGUCCAUUUUAACGUAUACCCAAUUUUCUGUUCC